CCUACGGGAGGCAGCAGUGGGGAAUUUUGGACAAUGGGCGAAAGCCUGAUCCAGCCAUGCCGCGUGCAGGAUGAAGGCCUUCGGGUUGUAAACUGCUUUUGUACGGAACGAAAAGGUCUUUUCUAAUAAAGAAGGCUCAUGACGGUACCGUAAGAAUAAGCACCGGCUAACUACGUGCCAGCAGCCGCGGUAAUACGUAGGGUGCGAGCGUUAAUCGGAAUUACUGGGCGUAAAGCGUGCGCAGGCGGUUAUAUAAGACAGUUGUGAAAUCCCCGGGGCUCAACCUGGGAACUGCAUCUGUGACUGUAUAGCUAGAGUACGGUAGAGGGGGGAUGGAAUUCCGCGUGUAGCAGUGAAAUGCGUAGAUAUGCGGAGGAACACCGAUGGCGAG
rnacentral:rRNA from 1 species